rnacentral:lncRNA from 1 species
UUCCAAACAAUUCCAAUUUCUGUCGGUUCAUUCCAGCAUCUUCCAUUUCUUUUGCCGACCAACCCCACUCACGAUAACCUCAAUAUAUACACCCCAUUAACCAUACACUCCACACUAUACCAUUUCCAAUCCACUAUAAUAGUACACUUCCAUUUGCUUUCUGCCGUGAGCUGUGAGGAAACAACUACCUUGGAAGUAUCGACGAGAGAGAGAGCCGUGCGAGCUUCGGUUCUUGAACUGUCCGAGAGAGGGUGAGAGCAAGAGAUAAUCGUGUGAGCUUCAUUGCUUCCUUCAUCAUCUGAGAGCUGCCAUUUCAUUCUUCACCUCAACCAGCCGUGAUCACUUCAACCUCAAUCACCACAGCUGCAAUUACUGAACUCAGACCAACCAUCCCCGAGUGCGUGAGCAAAGCCGUGAGGGAGGAAAAUAUUUCUGCUGUGGGCCGAGUGUGUUAAGCUUCAGGCUGAGGUAAUUUCUAGACUUAAAUGAGUUGUUUAUGGGUUAAUGAAGCUGGUUAUAAGCAUGCAUGUGGGGUUGUGCGGUUGGAUGACAAAAUUAAGUUACAAGAAAACUGAUUUGGAAAGAAUUGGAGCUGCCGAGAGUUAGAGCUGGAAUUGCAGCUUUAGUUUGUUAACUUGUGAUGAUCUGAGCUUAACCUUGGGCCAAUUUGAUAGAUAGCCUUUUAUUUGGUGUUGCAUGUGAACCAUAUGGCCAGGAUUUCGGUUGCAUGGCUGGAAAUUUUCACUAGAAGUUGCUGGACUGCUUAAUCAAUUUUCCAGUUUGCCGAUGGAGUUGUUUUGGGAGUUGUAUGAAUAUUUUAGUAUGAGAUUUGCUGGAAAGUGUUUGAUUCUCACUUGGUGGUGUGUUUAGCUAACUAAAUGCUGGAUGAUUAAGCCCCGCAUGAGAUUAAUUAGCUGUGUGUAAAUCAGAAAAAUAAAAUGAAACCAAAAGUCUGCUGCAGGCAUGUCAUCCGUAGUUAGUUGAGCAGAUCCUAGAAUUUUGAAUGAAUGUUGUUGGUGACCGACCCUGUUUUGGACUAGAAUUAAUAGUAACUUCAUUUAUUAGUAAUACAUGUUAGCUGUGAGUACAUAAUUCAGUGAUUUGGCCAAGGAAAAUCCGGAUUAAUGAGUGACUAAGCUGCUGGAAUUUUUCCAGUGUAGCCGAAUGAAGAAGAAAAGAAUUUUCCAGUUUUCUUUUGCGAAUUUUGGGUUUUAAAAUUAUGUUACAAGCUGUAAAUUUUGUGUCGUUGAUUAAGAGACCCCGUAAGCAUAACAAUUACCAUUUACAUGAUAAGCUGGGAGUGUAAAAGAUCGAAGUCUUGUUGCUGGAAAAUUUGGUUAAUGGCCGAAUGAGAAAGGAGCUUGAAAUUCUUAUAUUGGCUUGAUAAUUGGCUACAAUCUCAAGUAAAAUGUCUUAUAACAUCUUGUGCUAGUUUCAUGAUUAUCUUAUUGAUUGUAACACUUGAAAAACUGGUGUAUUGGAACAUGAACUAAAAGAAUUUCUGAAGGAAAAUAUUUUUCCAGCAUGGCCGAAUGGGUUGGGACUUUUGGUGGAUUUAUUUGCUGGAUUUGUGCAUUAUUUAUUUUAGCUUGGUUUGGACAGAUUAUAGGCUAUACGUUUGGUGUUUCUAGCAAGUAAAAGUUGGACAUCUUGGAUUGAAAUUUACUGGAAUUUUCUUGACUAUCGAAACAAGAAAAGAAAAUCUGAGUUCCUAAGUGUAUUUGUGAGUAAGCUAACCGUGACUUUCUUCUAUGCUUGAGUUAAACUUUUAGUUGACUUGUUGUAAGAAAUAUUUGUUUGAUGCCAAGAGCUAAUGAUUGAUGAAGCUUUUGGCCAUUUGAGUAAUUUUUGCAAGGGUUAAAUUCUUGGUGGAAUUAUUUAAGUGGUUUGGCCAAAAUGCAUUUGGAAGGUCCACGAUUUGUGAUUUGGAAUUGUUUUAAUACUUUGGACUUCCUUUGGUUGAUUUUGAUUAGAAUUGAAUCUGUUGAGACCUAGGGCUAAUGAUUGAUGAAACCCUAGUGAAAUGGAUGUUCGAAUUGUGUUUUUGCUAUAUUGGCGACUUGGAAUAUAAUGUGCAAAUGAAUUGAAAUCGUGAAGUCCGUUCUAGUCUUUUGAAUUCAAGUAUCUUUAAAUCAAAUCUUGUGGGAAUAUUUUGCCUUAAUAUCAAGUUAUAUACAUUGAGUAUAGUACGUUAAUAUUAAAAUCUAGAUAUCGGGACUUUUAAAACCUUGCCGAUUUGUUAAUUCUUUUCUUUAUUUAAACUAGUGUUUGACCUUUAAUAAAUAAUUGCAUUAACUUCCAAACUUUAAGUUUUUCACAAAAUUAUCCUUGACCAAUUGUUUUAAAGGAAAUUUGUUAAAAACAUUAGAUUUGAAUAAUUUCAAAUAAAAGACAAAGGGAACUUGUUCGACAAGAAAACUUGUUUGAAUUAAUUUGGUUCUAGUUUGCCCUCUAGUAGGGAAAUACCUUUAAAGAAACCAUACGAGAUAUUUUAUUUCUUUACUAGCCUUAAUUCCAAGGGAAUGAUUGAUUUGUUUCGAGAAAUUAAAUUAGUUUUAUAGAAGAUAACCUUUUAUAUACAAAACAAAAGUUUGUUUAGUAAAACUUAUAGUUUUAAAAAUUGGAUUUCUAGGGUGUAGCGAGGACGUGGACUUCGAUUCCCAACUUGACUUUUGAGCUUCACUUUUGGUGAGUGUCCCUGCCUGAUUUAUGGCUAUUUGGUUAAAGUGCUUUAUCGACUCGUUAUGUGAUAAUUGCCAAAAAUGGUUGUUGAUCCAUCGAAGUGAGCAGUGUGUACUUUAUCGCACUAGCCUUUCGAGUGGUGACUUGCUUGAAGUGUUUUUCGUGAAUAUCUUGCUUGUGUUUGCUAAGUGCUAAAUUACUAGGCAGGAGAAUGUACCACACCAUAAAGGUGGGAGGGCCUCUUAUCCUGUCCUGGUAAUCAAGUGUUGGACGUAAAGUCGUUGAGUGAAUCCCUCGAUCAGUCUAUAAUAAUCAAGUGUUGGACGUAAAGUUGUUGGGUGAAUCCCUCGAUCAGUCUAUAAUAAUCAAGUGUUGGACGUAAAGUCGUUGGGUGAAUCCCUCGACCAGUCUAUAACAAUCAAGUGUUGGACGUAAAGUCGUUGGGUAAAUCCCUCGACCAGUCUAUAAAUAUAAGUGUUGGACGUAAUGUCGUUGGGUGAAUCUCUCGACCAGUCUAAGGUAUACUCGAAUAUUAUCGCUUCCCUAUUUAUUUACUUCAGUCGAAUCAAUACGUGUUAAUUGUUUCAAGUGAUUGCAUGAUUUUGGGGCACCACUGAGUUUUAGCUCACCCCACGUUCAUUUGUUUUCCUUACAGGUUGUGAAGUUUGAAAGAAUUUGAGCUGCUUAUAUUUCCUAUGAAUGUAAUUGAACAACUUGAAUUUGAAUUUCGGUUUGUAAUGAAUUCCAAGUUAAGCAUUUUAUCUUUCAUUUUGGAUUGCCACUUGAAGCUGGAAAAGUGUAAACCCUAAUUCUGAUAUGUGGCUUGAAUGUAUGUAUUUGUGUGGUAUGGCUUUAACCCUUGUAAGUAACGCGUGAAGUGUUUAAGAGCCGUCGAUUGGCUAACUUCGGAUGCUGUUAUCUUUGAAGUUAAUGUGGUGUUAGAAACC